GACGAACGCUGGCGGCGUGCUUAACACAUGCAAGUCGAACGGAAAGGCCCUGCUUUUGUGGGGUGCUCGAGUGGCGAACGGGUGAGUAACACGUGAGUAACCUCCCCUUAACUUUGGGAUAACUUCAGGAAACUGGGGCUAAUACCGGAUAGGAGCUCCUGCUGCAUGGUGGGGGUUGGAAAGUUUCGGCGGUUGGGGAUGGACUCGCGGCUUAUCAGCUUGUUGGUGGGGUAGUGGCUUACCAAGGCUUUGACGGGUAGCCGGCCUGAGAGGGUGACCGGCCACAUUGGGACUGAGAUACGGCCCAGACUCCUACGGGAGGCAGCAGUGGGGAAUAUUGCACAAUGGGCGGAAGCCUGAUGCAGCAACGCCGCGUGCGGGAUGACGGCCUUCGGGUUGUAAACCGCUUUCGCCUGUGACGAAGCGUGAGUGACGGUAAUGGGUAAAGAAGCACCGGCUAACUACGUG
rnacentral:rRNA from 1 species